rnacentral:lncRNA from 1 species
AUUCUCACAGACUAUAUUUAUAAGGCUGGGUAAUUUUAAGGCUUUCAGAGAGUGACUGUACCAUAAUUCUGACUCAUCCCUUGUUGUUGGAUUCCUGGUUUGUUUGGUAACUUUUAAAAUUUUACUACAAUUUUAAAUUUACAGAAAUAUCAUAGAGAAUUCUCAUAUAUCUUUUACCCACAUUUACCGAGUGUUUCAUUUUAUCCCAUUUACUUUACAUUUACUUUAUGACUUAUGAUUUGCUAUGUCUAUAUCUACAUGUUGUAUUUUCUAAAUCAUUUGAGAGUAAGUUGCAGACAUUAUGCCCUUUAGUCCCAAAAGUUCAGUAUGCAUUCCUUAAGAAUAGGGACAUUUUGGAGUUUGAGUCAUGGCUCAGUGGUAAGGAACAUGACUAGUGUCCAUGAGGACAUGGGUUCAAUCUCUGGCCUUGUUCAGGUUAAGGAUCCAGCAUUGCCAUGAGUGAGCUGUGGGCCUACACCACAGCCACAGCAAUGCCAGAUCUGAGCCGUGUCUGUGACCCACACCACAGCUCACGGCAACACCAGAUCCUUAAUCCACUGAGCGAGGCCAGAAAUCGAACCUGCAACCUCAUGGUUCCUAGUCAGAUUCAUUUCCACUGUGCCACAAUGGGAACUCCUUUCUAGGGAAUCUUGAUUCCUUUGAAUGGAGAAGGAUAUUUAGAAACCAAGAUCUGGGUGCUGAGUGUGCCCAUUGCUGCUGGAGUAUUAUUGCUUCUAGGCUCUUGGCAAACAGCAAGGAAAUAGAUAUUGCUAAAGAUAUAUAUAUAUGGAAAUGUCAAGAGAGAUGGAGAUAGAUGUUAUAAGAAGGAAUCAGAUAUUAAAAAUCAUGAAUUCACACUGGUAUUUCCAGUCUAGCCCCAUAGGGUUUAUUCUCUUCUUCUCCCUUUUCCGUGUUUGUUAACCCUCUUCUCCAAAAAAAAAAAUUAAUUUUAAAACUUUCUCCUUGUUUUGUUAUGUUCCAUCCAGUGAUCAUCUUGAUGUAAGACUGUUGUUAUUUCCUUAGGAUGCACUCUACUUUCAGAACUUCCUCCUCAGCCUCCUGUAUCCCGAGGCUAACAGGGGACAGCUGUCUUCAGGGCUUGUGCAUUUCUGUGCAGAGCUUGCAGACCUGGAAGUUAGGAAGGCCAGUAGCAGGUUCAGCAAGCGUACUGAGCCAGAGGCCCAUCCGGGGGAAUAG